CCUACGGAGUGCUGCAGUGGGGAAUAUUGGACAAUGGGCGAAAGCCUGAUCCAGCCAUGCCGCGUGUGUGAAGAAGGCCUUCGGGUUGUAAAGCACUUUCAGUGGGGAAGAAAGCCUUGGGGCUAAUACCCUCGAGGAAGGACAUCACCCACAGAAGAAGCACCGGCUAACUCCGUGCCAGCAGCCGCGGUAAUACGGAGGGUGCGAGCGUUAAUCGGAAUUACUGGGCGUAAGCGCGCGUAGGCGGUCUGAUAAGCCGGUUGUGAAAGCCCCGGGCUCAACCUGGGAACGGCAUCCGGAACUGUCAGGCUAGAGUGCAGGAGAGGAAGGUAGAAUUCCCGGUGUAGCGGUGAAAUGCGUAGAGAUCGGGAGGAAUACCAGUGGCGAAGGCGGCCUUCUGGACUGACACUGACGCUGAGGUGCGAAAGCGUGGGUAGCAAACAGGAUUAGAUACCCGAGUAGUC
rnacentral:rRNA from 1 species